rnacentral:lncRNA from 1 species
CGGAGUAGGUUCGUAACAUGAAAAAAAAUCAAGUUGUAUUUUAUUCUUCUUGAAUUCAUUAUAUUGUAUUUGAAGUGUUAAAAGAAAAAAAAAGUUACGAAAAUUAAAAAAAAACGAAAAGUAUAAAAAAAAGAAAAAAGUGAAAAGUCUUGCGAGUUUUAUUUUGUUUCAUCUCUUACUAUUUUCGAUCAUCCGUUCAUUCUACCAUUUCUUCUACCCC